rnacentral:rRNA from 2 species
ACGGGAGGCAGCAGUGGGGAAUAUUGGGCAAUGGGGGAAACCCUGACCCAGCAACGCCGCGUGAGGGAUGAAGGUCUUCGGAUUGUAAACCUCUGUCCUAGGGGACGAAGAAAGUGACGGUACCCUGGGAGGAAGCUCCGGCUAACUACGUGCCAGCAGCCGCGGUAAUACGUAGGGAGCAAGCGUUGUCCGGAAUUACUGGGCGUAAAGGGUGCGUAGGCGGUUUUUUAAGUCAGAUGUGAAAUACCCGGGCUUAACCCGGGGGGUGCAUUUGAUACUGGGAGACUUGAGUGCAGGAGAGGAAAGUGGAAUUCCUAGUGUAGCGGUGGAAUGCGUAGAUAUUAGGAGGAACACCAGUGGCGAAGGCGGCUUUCUGGACUGUAACUGACGCUGAGGCACGAAAGCGUGGGGAGCAAACAGGAUUAGAUACCCUGGUA